AGUGAACGCUGGCGGUAUGCCUAACACAUGCAAGUCGAACGGCAGCACAGUAAGAGCUUGCUCUUACGGGUGGCGAGUGGCGGACGAGUGAGGAAUACAUCGGAAUCUACUUUUUCUUGGGGGAUAACGUAGGGAAACGUACGCUAAUACCGCAUACGCCCUACGGGUUCAAGCAGGGGAUCUUCGGACCUUGCGCGAUUGAAUGAUCCGAUGUCGGAUUAGCUAGUUGGCGGGGUAAAGGCCCACCAAGGCGACGAUCCGUAGCUGGUCUGAGAGGAUGAUCAGCCACACUGGAACUGAGACACGGUCCCGACUCCUACGAGAGGCAGCAGUGGGGAAUAUUGGACAAUGGGCGCAAGCCUGAUCCAGCCAUACCGCGUGGGUGAAGAAGGCCUUCGGGUUGUAAAGCCCUUUUGUUGGGAAAGAAAAGCAGCAGGUUAAUAACCCGCUGUUCUGACGGUACCCAAAGAAUAAGCACCGGCUAACUUCGUG
rnacentral:rRNA from 1 species